rnacentral:rRNA from 1 species
CAGCCGCCACGGUAAUACGAAGGGUGCAAGCGUUAAUCGGAAUUACUGGGCGUAAAGCGUGCGUAGGCGGUUUGUUAAGUCUGCUGUGAAAUCCCCGGGCUCAACCUGGGAAUGGCAGUGGAUACUGGCAAGCUAGAGUGUGUCAGAGGAUGGUGGAAUUCCCGGUGUAGCGGUGAAAUGCGUAGAGAUCGGGAGGAACAUCAGUGGCGAAGGCGGCCAUCUGGGACAACACUGACGCUGAGGCACGAAAGCGUGGGGAGCAAACAGGAUUAGAUACCCGGGUAGUCCCUGUCUCUUAUAC